UACGGAGGGUGCGAGCGUUGUCCGGAAUCACUGGGCGUAAAGGGCGCGUAGGUGGCCCGUGGACGUCUGCGGUGAAAGUCCGGCGCUCAACGCCGGAUCGGCCGUGGAUACUCUCGGGCUUGAGCUUACUAGAGGCAGAUGGAAUUCCGGGUGUAGCGGUGGAAUGCGUAGAGAUCCGGAAGAACACCGGUGGCGAAGGCGGUCUGCUGGGGUAAUGCUGACACUGAUGCGCGACAGCGUGGGGAGCAAACAGG
rnacentral:rRNA from 1 species